rnacentral:rRNA from 1 species
GAGCGGGUGUAGCAAUACAUCAGCGGCAGACGGGUGAGUAACGCGUGGGAACGUACCUUUUGGUUCGGAACAACACAGGGAAACUUGUGCUAAUACCGGAUAAGCCCUUACGGGGAAAGAUUUAUCGCCGAAAGAUCGGCCCGCGUAUGAUUAGCUAGUUGGUGAGGUAAUGGCUCACCAAGGCGACGAUCAGUAGCUGGUAUGAGAGGAUGAUCAGCCACAUUGGGACUGAGACACGGCCCAAACUCCUACGGGAGGCAGCAGUGGGGAAUAUUGGACAAUGGGCGCAAGCCUGAUCCAGCCAUGCCGCGUGAGUGAUGAAGGCCCUAGGGUUGUAAAGCUCUUUUGUGCGGGAAGAUAAUGACGGUACCGCAAGAAUAAGCCCCGGCUAACUUCGUGCCAGCAGCCGCGGUAAU